UCACAAUCUUAGAGCAAGAUAACGUUGUAGAGGACAGCAAACAUAAUUGCAACAUGUGGGGAGUCUUGAUUUCAUGGCAUUUGGUACACUGCAGUCCCAACAGCCAUGAGGAGAAGGGAGAUAUUCCUCCCCCACUAAGUUUUUCUCUAAAAUCAAAGGCUCCUGAACACUUCUUUACUCUCAGAAAAUUAAAGCAUUUUGCCUUUAGACUAAUGUUACCUGAGAAUUGGGGUUCCCUUUUGUUGGUUUUUGGCUUUAUAGAUAAAAGAAUUAAACAGUAGAGUCAGAAGAAAGCUUUAAAUUUGAGAGAGAAAUCAUAGGUUAGGCAAGAUGAGAAAUCUGAAUCUCUGAAGCAGUCUGGGUGUGGUGGUGCACACCUUUAAUCCCGGCUCUCCGGAGGCCGGGCAGAGGCAGACCUGUUCUACAUUGUUCAACUAUGGCCAGGGCUGUGUUAGAGAGAGGGGAUUAACUCUUAAGAGAAGGACAGCAAUGUAAUAUGGGCAGCUUAGAAUGUCAUUCCUUGAGAUAGAACUCAAAUUCUGUUCUAACCUGGGAGAGUAGUUUUCCUUAGUGGGGGUCAUCUGUCACCUUCACCUUUUCAUAUUUUACAUUUUAAGGAGUGGCAAAGCUGAUCAUGAGGGAGAGGCUCCAUCUUCAGUGACCUCUAACUUGCUAAUGUCUGUCUAACCACUUAAUAAGAAUUAAAAAUAUACCAAGGAGUGCCAAAAAAAAAAAAAAAAAAAAAAAACCCUCAGCAGGUCAGAAAACUCUGGAGUGUGCCUCAUUUAAACCACUGUAUCUCUCUUGACCUGAACCAUUAUUAGUAUGAUUGGAGAAGCUCAACUUGAUGAAACAAUGUUUGUGCCAGUUUAUUUUCUGUUGCUGUCAUGAAUGCCUGACCAAAAGCAACUUGAGAAGGAAAGAGGUUAUUUUACCCAACAACUCCCAGUUCACAAUCUGUUGCUGAGGGAAGUAAAGACAGAAACUUGAGCAGAACCAUGCAGUGCUGCUUCCUGGCUUGCUCAACCUGCUUUUUAUUACAAGACCACCAGCAAUGGCAUCACUCCCAAACUUGCCUACUGGAGAGUCUAGGAAGACAUUUUCUCAGUUCAGGUUCCUUCUUCCCAGAUGACUGUAGCUUGUCUCAAGGUGACCAAAAAAAAAAAAAAAAA
rnacentral:lncRNA from 1 species